rnacentral:rRNA from 2 species
AAUCCAUAGGUUAAUGAGGCGAACCGGGGGAACUGAAACAUCUAAGUACCCCGAGGAAAAGAAAUCAACCGAGAUUCCCCCAGUAGCGGCGAGCGAACGGGGAGGAGCCCAGAGCCUGAAUCAGCAUGUGUGUUAGUGGAAGCGUCUGGAAAGGCGCGCGAUACAGGGUGACAGCCCCGUACACAAAAGCGCAUGUGCUGUGAGCUCGAUGAGUAGGGCGGGACACGUGGUAUCCUGUCUGAAUAUGGGGGGACCAUCCUCCAAGGCUAAAUACUCCUGACUGACCGAUAGUGAACCAGUACCGUGAGGGAAAGGCGAAAAGAACCCCGGCGAGGGGAGUGAAAAAGAACCUGAAACCGUGUACGUACAAGCAGUGGGAGCACCCUUUGGGUGUGACUGCGUACCUUUUGUAUAAUGGGUCAGCGACUUAUAUUCUGUAGCAAGGUUAACCGAAUAGGGGAGCCGGAGGGAAACCGAGUCUUAACCGGGCGUUAAGUUGCAGGGUAUAGACCCGAAACCCGGUGAUCUAGCCAUGGGCAGGUUGAAGGUUGGGUAACACUAACUGGAGGACCGAACCGACUAAUGUUGAAAAAUUAGCGGAUGACCUGUGGCUGGGGGUGAAAGGCCAAUCAAACCGGGAGAUAGCUGGUUCUCCCCGAAAGCUAUUUAGGUAGCGCCUCGUGAAUUCAUCUCCGGGGGUAGAGCACUGUUUCGGCUAGGGGGCCAUCCCGGCUUACCAACCCGAUGCAAACUGCGAAUACCGGAGAAUGUUAUCACGGGAGACACACGGCGGGUGCUAACGUCCGUCGUGAAGAGGGAAACAACCCAGACCGCCAGCUAAGGUCCCAAAGUCAUGGUUAAGUGGGAAACGAUGUGGGAAGGCCCAGACAGCCAGGAUGUUGGCUUAGAAGCAGCCAUCAUUUAAAGAAAGCGUAAUAGCUCACUGGUCGAGUCGGCCUGCGCGGAAGAUGUAACGGGGCUAAACCAUGCACCGAAGCUGCGGCAGCGACACUGUGUGUUGUUGGGUAGGGGAGCGUUCUGUAAGCCUGUGAAGG